AGAGUUUGAUCCUGGCUCAGGACGAACGCUGGCGGCGCGCCUAACACAUGCAAGUCGAACGGAGCUGUUUUCUCUGAAGUUUUCGGAUGGAAGAGAGUUCAGCUUAGUGGCGAACGGGUGAGUAACACGUGAGCAACCUGCCUUUCAGUGGGGGACAACAUUUGGAAACGAAUGCUAAUACCGCAUAAGACCACAGUGUCGCAUGGCACAGGGGUCAAAGGAUUUAUCCGCUGAAAGAUGGGCUCGCGUCCGAUUAGCUAGAUGGUGAGGUAACGGCCCACCAUGGCGACGAUCGGUAGCCGGACUGAGAGGUUGAACGGCCACAUUGGGACUGAGACACGGCCCAGACUCCUACGGGAGGCAGCAGUGGGGAAUAUUGCACAAUGGGGGAAACCCUGAUGCAGCGACGCCGCGUGGAGGAAGAAGGUCUUCGGAUUGUAAACUCCUGUCCCAGGGGACGAUAAUGACGGUACCCUGGGAGGAAGCACCGGCUAACUACGUGCCAGCAGCCGCGGUAAAACGUAGGGUGCAAGCGUUGUCCGGAAUUACUGGGUGUAAAGGGAGCGCAGGCGGAUUGGCAAGUUGGGAGUGAAAUCUAUGGGCUCAACCCAUAAAUUGCUUUCAAAACUGUCAGUCUUGAGUGGUGUAGAGGUAGGCGGAAUUCCCGGUGUAGCGGUGGAAUGCGUAGAUAUCGGGAGGAACACCAGUGGCGAAGGCGGCCUACUGGGCACUAACUGACGCUGAGGCUCGAAAGCAUGGGUAGCAAACAGGAUUAGAUACCCUGGUAGUCCAUGCCGUAAACGAUGAUUACUAGGUGUGGGAGGAUUGACCCCUUCCGUGCCGCAGUUAACACAAUAAGUAAUCCACCUGGGGAGUACGACCGCAAGGUUGAAACUCAAAGGAAUUGACGGGGGCCCGCACAAGCAGUGGAGUAU
rnacentral:rRNA from 1 species